UAUAACACUUCUAUUCUCCUCUAUCUGUACUUUUAAAACUUAAACAAACAAAAAAACUUAAUUAAUAAUAUCUUUGCUGUUCAGGAAAAAAAGAAAAGAAAAAUAAAGUAUCUUUGCUAGUUUUUCAUUGGCUGAAAAGAAGAGUGCAUGGAUUGAAAAUCUGAACCAUUGAUAACAAGAAAUCAAAGGUCAAGAUUACUUAGUUUUGUGUUUCUUAUUUCUCUCGACACAUCUCAACUUCUCCAUUAUUCUUCUUUCCGACACUCUCAUCUCCUCUCUCUCUCUCUCUUAAAAUCUCAUCUCUUCUAUUCUCUUGAAUAUUCUUUUACUUCUCCUCUCGUCUGACAAAUAUCUUCUCCUUUUUGCUCUCAUCUGACGAAACUCACUCUCUUCUAUUUCAUUUUUUCAACUAAUCUUCUUUCUUUUUUUUUGGUUCACAACCUAGCUAAUCUUCUUUCUUUAUCUUGUGUGUUCCUCUUUUUUUCGCCUAAUCAUCUUAAGUUCAUGAAUCAUUGUGUCGAAGAGUCGUCAUGUUCUCACCGGAGAAGGUACAAAUCUCCUCCUCUAUCACCAAGAAACGAGUUCUACAGCCUUAACUUUGACUCUCGCCGUCCCACCACUCAACACUACCACGGGUUGGAAGAGGCAUGGCGAGGCAGACAGAAAGCGUGACCAGAGACGGAAGAGACAGAGAAGGAGGAGGCGGCUAAGAAGAUUAGGCUUAGUUUUUUUUAAAUCUAGGUUUGGUUUUUUUUCUAAGUUUUGGUUAGAUUUGGUUAUGAAAACCUGUUUAGGAAGAUCCAUAGAUCUAGGUUUACUUUUUGUUUGUUUUGAUUUUUUUUAUUUGGUUUAAAUUUGUAAACGUAUUGUAACUGUAAUAAACCAAUUUUGAUUUAUAAAUAAAAUUCAUUUGGUAAAA